GACAGAGGUCCCGAGCGUUGUUCGGAAUUACUGGGCGUAAAGCGCACGUAGGCGGAUUUGUAAGUCAGGGGUGAAAUCCCGGGGCUCAACCUCGGAACUGCCUUUGAUACUGCAAGUCUCGAGUCCGAUAGAGGUGAGUGGAAUUCCUAGUGUAGAGGUGAAAUUCGUAGAUAUUAGGAAGAACACCAGUGGCGAAGGCGGCUCACUGGAUCGGUACUGACGCUGAGGUGCGAAAGCGUGGGGAGCAAACAGGG
rnacentral:rRNA from 1 species